UGGUUGUCAGUUUUAUUUUUAUUUUUUUUUUUAUUUUUUGUAUUUCUUGGUGUGAAGCGGCUUGUCCGACUUGUAUGUGGUUCUGCCGUAGACAGAGUAAACUAUAGACUGCGUGAUAAUUCCUUUUCGUUCCCACUAAACAGAAAUACAAAUAGGGACAACGUAUUAGGAAAAAAGAGAUAGAGCAUAACUAUUUGCAUCUCUCAUUGCGUGCCGGUUUUCUCAAGGCCAGCACAAACAUUUUGCUAAACAAGUUUGACCUUCGAGACAUUGUGCUGUAAAAUUUUCAAUUAUUUAGCUAAGUUUAAAUAUAAACAGACUUGAUUUUGUUCAAUUAAAGAAGAUAAAGGCAAAUUCUAAUUGUUUACAAUGGUUCGGUGUAGUGUUCUUGGCUGUAAAAGCGAUAGUGAACGGAAAAUUGCAGGAUUGUCUUUUCAUUCGUAACUGCCACAGGACGAAAUUGUUGGUGAAAGCAGUCGCCGUGCAUUACUUUGAAGUACGCAUACAUCAUACUACAAAACAGUUUUUUUCACCCAGCGAUAGAAUUUGCAACAUACACAAUAAGCUUGUACUGUUUAGAGGGCAAUAAAUUCACUAUUCACUAAUUUGUGUUGUUUUAUUUCCUUCUCCUUUUUUUCUUAGUUACUAGCUGUUGCUCGCAGCUACGUCUGGCAACAAUUCAACUUAGAUUAACAACCGAAUCUUGGUUGAUGACUGAUGAGGCUAUUUCUAUAGCCUAGGUCACUCAGUAUUAACUUAGCAUUUUAAUGAUAUAGUUUUUAAAAUCAGUCGAUAGUUUUUGAGUUAUUUCGACCACGAAAUUGGUUCGAGGUACCAACCUCACAGAGCUAAUAGUGACCGGCUUGUACGUUAUAUAUGUGUGCGUGGUACUUGUUUGAAACUAUGAUAUCUCCUAAGAUAUCCGUUAAAAUCAAGCAAUGUCAAGGG
rnacentral:misc_RNA from 1 species